rnacentral:lncRNA from 1 species
GAUGCCGGACCAAAUUUUAAAUGGAAGCAGAAUAAGAGGGGAAGAGAAGGAGGAAGAAGAAGAGAAGAAGGAGAAGGGAGGAGAAGAGAAGAAGAGGAAAACGUGGGGGAAAGAAAUUCUUAAUUCUUCAUUGACCCUAAUCAACAUAAAAAUUCCCUAUAAAUAGGGCCCAAUAAGAACAAUUAAAAUAAAACCCCUUACACAAAAUAGAACCCACAAAUAAGCCCUAAAAUGCAAAUGAGUCCCGAAAUAAAAUAAACCACAAAUAAACCCCUAAAUGCAAAUAAACCCAGAAAUAAAAUAAACAAAUAUGCAAAUAAGAUGGGGACCUAGCUG